rnacentral:rRNA from 1 species
AUUGAACGCUGGCGGCAGGCCUAACACAUGCAAGUCGAACGAGUGGCGGACGGGUGAGUAAUGUCUGGGAAACUGCCCGAUGGAGGGGGAUAACUACUGGAAACGGUAGCUAAUACCGCAUACCAUCGGAUGUGCCCAGAUGGGAUUAGCUGGUAGGUAAGGUAACGGCUUACCUAGGCGACGAUCCCUAGCUGGUCUGAGAGGAUGAUCAGCACAACUGGGACGGGGACACGGCCCAGACUCCUACGGGAGGCAGCAGUGGGGAAUAUUGCACAAUGGGCGCAAGCCUGAUGCAGCCAGGCCGCGUGUAUGAAGAAGGCCUUCGGGUUGUAAAGUACUUUCAGUCGGGAGGCGUUACCGGCAGAAGAAGCACCGGCUAACUCCGUGCCAGCAGCCGCGGUAAUUC